UUGUGGCUGCUUUACUGGUUGGUAGAGAGAUGGAGUGGGUCAGUGGCUACAGAGAGGGCUAGCACAGUGCCCGGCAGAUAGCAAUCACCCAGUAAACGUUUCACCCCCAGGAAUAAUACUUAUUAACUGUGAGCCAUUAGCACUCAUAAGUGUUUUCUCAUUUAAAAAAUUUUUUUGUAUUAAUUUUUUUCUUUUUUUUUUGCCAUGAAGCUUGCAGGAUAUUGGUUUCCCAACUAGGGAUUGAACCCAGGCCUUUAGCAUGAAGGCCUGGAGUCCUAACACUGAACCACCAGAGAAUUCCCUAUUCUUUCUCAUCUUAGCAAUAAGUACACAAGGUAAGUCAUGAUUUGGUGAGAAACACAUUUACCCAGACUAACUGUGAUGCUACAGAAGUGAAGACAAGUCCAGCAACAGAUGGAUCAAAGUCCAAGAAUCAUUUUCUCAAGAUACCUGAUGGAAAGCAGGGGCUCAGGUACCCAUACACCUAUAUCCAUGGCAGCAUUAUUCACAAUAGCCAAAAGGUA